rnacentral:tRNA from 1 species
AGUUCCAUAGCUCAGUGAUCAGAGCGCCUGAUAUGUUAAUCAGGAGGUCCUUGGUUUGAAUCCGAGUGGAACUA